UUGUUGUUACAUGCUCCCGUGUAUUUCGAAUUGUGCGCAGAUGAUGAGAGUACUGAAUGUGAUAACGGAUCAUGUUGCGACUGUAUCGUAUGUAGAACAUUGUGCUCGUUCGUGACACCCAGUACGUUUGAUAACCUUGUCGCGUUGCCGCAAGUCACUUGUUCGAGAAUAUUCGCUCGGGAAUGCUGUCUCUGCGUACGUACUCUCGUCGAGCGUGCUCGAGCGCUUCAUUGCGCAGUAAAACGUCGUGGAUGUGUCGAGUGAUACGUGAAUAGACAUCGUCCGAUAUUCGUUGACUCUGUUAGAUAUAAAAGCCGGAUCGUCUCGCCUCUAACAGUGCAAAUAAUGUGUUGUACGUACGCUUUUAUUCAACGGCUCUCUUCUUCGAUCAACGUAUUGAUACUCGGAGUGCGUGACGUCACGUGUUUACUGCUCUUGUUUGGCCGGUAUCGUCACUCGCUUUUGGUGGGGUUUUCCGCAGUUUUUGUGUUUUUCGAGUGCAUAUUGUGUACAAAUACGGUGUCAAAAGUGACGAGAGCAAUAGCAGACGAUCGUCUCAACAUGCAAGUAGAGCAAAAUAGAAAUAAUCGCGUUUCUAGUAUGUUCUUUAGUUAAAGUUAGCACCUGUUGCGUUGCAAUAUGUUACUUUCGCGCGUGUUUCUUAUUUGAUUCGCGUUCGUGUUCAUAUGCAAUAUUUAAACAAUGCCGAAUAAAGAAUCGAGCGGUUAUUAACGUGUGAUUCAAGACGAACAACCAAAUGAGAUGUCAGCAGAAGACGACAACCAUGGAGUAACUUGAAUUUGCAGAAAAGAAAUGCAGUAACAGCAACAGCGGUAACAACAACAACAAUUGAUCGAGAUAUUCUUCGAAUCGACGAUCGUGCUGGAACUAUGCUGCUUUAUACCUACAUCGUUUCGUUCAACGCAGCUUGUAACGUGAUUUACUCCGCUGUUGCGCGUCGUAUUGAUUAAAUUGCAGAAUCUGAGAGAAGGUGGCUGAGUAACUCCGCUCGUUGCGCAUCGGGUCGGUGAG
rnacentral:lncRNA from 13 species